rnacentral:lncRNA from 1 species
UUUUUUUUUGUCCAGCCAGGGCUCCUUUUAUUCAUUCAGGGGUGGGUUUUUGAAACGCAGUGCAACUUUUAUAUAAAGUCGAGGGUGCCAGGAAAGUGGGCCUGCCGGGUGCAGAGAAGCGCAAGAAGCUUGCUGGAAUGUUCCAGCUUUAAGGGCGCCCUUGAUACACCGGCCACAGCUGCUGGCCCAGAAGGUGCCAUGUGGACCUCAGAAUGAGAUCAGGGUGCCUGCUCCGUCCAGAGCUCAGGACCAUGUCCACCUGUCCUCCAUAUGCAAAAAAAAAAAAAAAAAAACCCUGAAAAUAUCUUCACACAGGAUCACAGACUAGGCUCUGCAUGGUGUCUCUUGGCCUAAGAAGCGUUCAGGCCGUGCGGGAACUGUUGAAGUGGAAGUGUUGAAGUGGAAGUCCUUCCACAGGACAGGGUAUCACCAGCUACCUCUGGCCUCUCUGCUGCAGGGUCCGGAGAGCCCAGCAUUCAUACUGGUGUCUCCUCUGCCACCUUCUUCAGGAGUCCAGCUGCCAGUGGAGAAUGCUGGGGGCCCUCGGGGCUGUCCGCCUCCCGGAUCUUCAGGCGAACUUUCUGGUUGGUCUUUCUCCACUCGGAGUACAGCUGGCAGUGGUAGCGGAAGGAGACCAGCGUCCAGAGGACAUAGAUGGUGAAGAGGGCGAUGGUGAGGGCAAUGAGACCCACGGCCUCCAGCUGGCUGUGGAGCCGGAGGUGGUCCUGGGCCCCGCGCAGGCACAACCAGCCUGAGAUGGCGGCCAGCGGUGUGAUGAACAGGAAACACACCAUGUCGCAGCACAGUGUCCGCUUCUCCGUCCGCGGCCCCGGGUCCUUCAGCCACUCUGUGAGGGGUCGAGGCCGUUUCUCCACUGCAAACUCCGUGUGGCACAGCUCGCAGUAGCUGGUGUUAGAUGAGGAAAGCCACUUCUCCAGACAGCUCUUAUGCACGGCACCCAGCGUGCCGGUGCAGCCACACGGGGACAGCAAGCACUCCCCGUUCGCUCCCUCAUGGCAGAUCCGGCAGAAAGGACCAUCACUCGGUGUGUCCAAGGCACGGAUGACGGUGGAGAGGAGCCGGCCAUCCCUUGAAGUCACCUGUGCCACAUACUGGGGCGGUCCGAGGCCCGUAGCCUCCACGACCUUGGAGAAGGCAGGGCUGCCGGAGCAGUCACACAGGGAGCCGGGGAGGUGGCAGCAGUCACCCGUCGUCAUGGCCACCGGGAGCCCCGUAUCCUCAGGGCCUGAGGCCCAUGGUUCCAGGAGCCUGUAAUCCCAGCGCUUUGGGAGGUCCAAGCAGGAGGAUCACUUGAGGCCAGGAGUUUGAGACGAGCUAGGGCAACAUAGAGAGACCCUAUCUCUCUGAAGGUUUUUUUGAAUUAGCCAGGCAUGGUGCUGAAAGCCUGUAGUCCCAGCUACUUGGGAGGCUGAGGAGGGAGCCUCAACCUCUUGAGCCCAGGAGUUCAAGGCUGUAGUGAGCUAUGAUCACACCACUGCACUCCAGCCUGGGUAACAGAGCAAGACCCAGUCUCCAGUCUCU